rnacentral:rRNA from 1 species
UAAGGAAUAUUGGACAAUGGUGGCAACACUGAUCCAGCCAUGCCGCGUGCAGGAUGAAGGCGCUACGCGUUGUAAACUGCUUUUGUACGGGAGAAAACCUAUCUACGUGUAGAUAGCUGAUAGUACCGUAAGAAUAAGCAUCGGCUAACUUCGUGCCAGCAGCCGCGGUAAUACGAAGGAUGCAAGCGUUAUCCGGAUUUAUUGGGUUUAAAGGGUGCGUAGGCGGACUUAUAAGUCAGUGGUGAAAUCUCGUUGCUUAACAACGAACGUGCCAUUGAUACUGUAGGUCUUGAGUACAGAUGCCGUUGGCGGAAUGUGUCAUGUAGCGGUGAAAUGCAUAGAUAUGACACAGAACACCGAUUGCGAAGGCAGCUGACGAAACUGUAACUGACGCUGAGGCACGAAAGCGUGGGGAUCAAACAGGAUUAGAUACCCCCGUAGUCC